GCCCUCUCAAAAGCCAACAACCCCAAGCUAGUCUUUCUCUGUGAGACUAGACAAGAUGCAACUAAAGUGGAGAAGAUGAAGUGGGGGCUGGGCCUGAAGGGCUUCCACGGUGUUAGUAGUGAUGGAAGGAGCGGCGGGCUAGCUCUGUUUUGGGAUGAGACCCUUACCGUAACAAUGCUUGAAUCUUGUAAUAGGUUCAUUGAUGUUCGUAUUCUUGAAGGUGGUUCUGGUAUUUCAUGGAGAGGGACCUUUGUAUAUGGGGAGCCGAGAGUGGAAAACCGUCAGCGUAUGUGGGAUCAUCUGUGCUGGUUGCCUGCAGUUUCGCGAGAGCCAUGGGUUGUAUGUGGCGACUUCAACGAAGCGCUUUGGCAGCAUGAGCAUCUGUCAAGAACGGCUCGAGCGGAGGCACAAAUGGUAGCAUUCAGGGAUUGUUUACAAACUUGCGAGCUAGAGGACCUCGGGUUCUCUGGUCUCCCCUACACAUACAAUAAUGGUCAGGAUGGGAAUCGCAACGUUCAGGUCCGCCUCGAUCGGGCCUGUGCGGACGAGGCGCUAUGA
rnacentral:rRNA from 1 species